rfam:Myotis brandtii contig168967, whole genome shotgun sequence.
GGCGGUUCUCAAGUGACACACCCCACCAUCGGCCUCCUUCCUCUCUGGUUCUGGGUGCAUCACCCAAGAACUGCA